rnacentral:rRNA from 1 species
AAAAUUCAACCCUAUGCGGUGGAUCACUUGGCUCGCGAGUCGAUGAAGAGCGCAGCAAACUGCGUGAAUUAAUGUGAUUUGCAGGACACAUUGAUCAUCCAUAUCUUGAACGCAUAUUGCGGUUAUGGAUCGCUUCCAUGACCACGCCUGUCUGAGGGUCGGUAUU